rnacentral:ncRNA from 1 species
UCUUAUCAAGAGAGGCGGAGGGACCUGCCCUGUGAAGCCCGACAACCUGCCCGGUCAUACCGCGGUAAGGUGUCAAUUCAGCGGAAUUUAUUUUCCGGCAGAUGAGA